rnacentral:rRNA from 1 species
CGGUCUUGACAUCCUCUGACAAUCCUAGAGAUAGGACUUUCCCCUUCGGGGGACAGAGUGACAGGUGGUGCAUGGUUGUCGUCAGCUCGUGUCGUGAGAUGUUGGGUUAAGUCCCGCAACGAGCGCAACCCUUAUUCUUAGUUGCCAGCAUUAGGUUGGGCACUCUAAGGAGACUGCCGGUGACAAACCGGAGGAAGGUGGGGAUGACGUCAAAUCAUCAUGCCCCUUAUGACCUGGGCUACACACGUGCUACAAUGGAUGGUACAAAGGGCUGCGAAACCGCGAGGUUAAGCCAAUCCCAUAAAACCAUUCUCAGUUCGGAUUGCAGGCUGCAACUCGCCUGCAUGAAGCCGGAAUCGCUAGUAAUCGCGGAUCAGCAUGCCGCGGUGAAUACGUUCCCGGGUCUUGUACACACCGCCCGUCACACCACGAGAGUUUGUAACACCCGAAGUCGGUGGGGUAACCGCAAGGAGCCAGCCGCCUAAGGUGGGACAGAUGAUUGGGGUGAAGUCGUAACAAGGUAAGCGUAGAUGA